rnacentral:lncRNA from 1 species
AAUUAAAAAUACCAAUAAUCAAUCAUCAAUAAUAAACACUAACAAUAUAGUAAAUUCGCAUUACUUAAAUUCGAAUCCGAUCCGACAUAUAUGGACAUCCAAUUCAUUUUUUUCUCUAAAAACAAACAAACUCAUAUAAAGAGGGGGAAAAAAUACCUGAUCCUAAAAAUGCAUCAUCAAAGUCCAAAAAAUUUUUUUUUUUAAGAUUAAAAUAUUAAAAUAGUUUUUUAAAAAAUAAAACACUUUUUUAAAACAAAAUAUUUUUUUAUAAAAGUAAAACAUUUGUUUUAAAAAAUAAAUUUUUUAAAAAAAUAAAACAGAUUUUUAAAAUAAAAACAGUUUUUUGUAAAAAAAUAAAAGAGUUUUUGAAAAAAUAAACUGUUUUUUUAAGACAAAAAUACAACAGUUUUUUUAAAAAAUAAUUAUAUUGUAUGUGGUGGUGGUGGCGGCGGCGGUGGCGAGAGCUAGCUAGCUAUGAAAAAUGAUUUCCUGGAUUAAAAAAAUGAGAAAAUCUUUUCAACCUCUUAAAAUAUGUAUUUUUUGUUGAUCAGAAAAUAGAUUUUAUUGGCCUUUUAUUUUUCUUCUACCAAACGGAAAAAAAAAAUGUAGAAAAUACUUUCUAGAAAACAUUUUCUGAUGGCAAAAAAUAUAAAAAAUACUUUCUAGAAAACAUUUUAUGUCAAAAUAAACGGAGCGUUAGGUAAAAGUAAAGGGGUGCAAAGGGUAAUUUACCCCUAAGUAAAAUCACUGAUCAUAAGUACUCCAACCCACAGGCCUGCUAAGCCAUUUUCGGGUAUCCACCUUCGUGUUUUCAUCAAAAGCUGUUAAUAAUUUCAUGAAUUCAGUGGAAAGAAGCAUCUCAUGGACUUUUAUUUUGGUAGUAUAGUACAUUUUAAUGGGAAAUAGAAAAAAAAAAUCUCUAAAUAUAUUGACAAGAUGAUCAAGAGAAUUGUCAUGUUGAACACUUUACAAUUCCAUUAAUUCCCCACCUAAUGUACGAGAUUAAUUCAUACAUAAAUGUGGUUAGGGGUCUAGAAGACUAGAAGAAAAAGUAUACUCUUGCACCGUAAAAUUUAAGCAAAAAACAGCAUCCGAGAUUUAGAAUGGUGUGUUAAUAGUAUUGUUGCAAAUAAAGCAAUCUAAACAUGUCCGUAUUUUCAUAUUUUAAAGUGAAAGACUCACAAUGAUCAUUGUGUACAAAAAUUCACUAUAAAUUUAUGCGUUUAGAAUGAUACAUUCCUCUUGACUCAAUUGUGAGAAUGGAAAAUAUUAAGUCAUCAUUAAUUGGGUGUGAAAGAUUAAUUCACACCAACAAUUUUUAAAAUUUUAUAAUUUUUAAGGAAAAGAGAAAGGAAAAAGAUCCAGUCUAUCUAAUUUGGAAUUCAUCACUAGCUAAGUUGGUUUACUCAAGAUUCGAACUCUGAUUUGAAGUCAGUGUCUCCAACACCAAGCUAGAUCACCCCUUGGUAUUAGGUAAAUUUCUAAGUUUUCUUUUUUGUAUUGAUCAGAGAAUAUACAUACAAUGAAAGAUAAAAUAGUUAAAACGACUUCAUGAACCACCUCAUAAAAACAUGAACUUUUGCAAGAGUGACUUAAAUGUCAUAAGGGAAGGAAGAGGGUAAUUUAUGCACAAAUGGGAUGAAUUUAUCGCCAAGUAAUGAAAAAUACAAAUCAAGAUUUUAAAGUAAUGAAGAAAAAACUUUAUCACUUCUUUUUAUUUAUUUUCCUUGGGAUAUUUUUCCAUUUUCUUUUUCCUAAAUUCCAAAUAAAGCCUUAGGAUUGCGUUUACAACCACCCCAUAAUUGUGUUACCAAAUGUGUUCUUUAUUCACUAUGGUCACUUGUAAGGGGUAAAAAUUACCCCAUAGUUGUGUUGGAAAAAUAUUGGUCUCUGCUUCUAGUGAUAGGUGGUCUUGGGCCUUUUCACCCCCCAAAGCUAGCCUAUGAGGUGAGGUUUUCCCUCACACUUAUAAAGUGACCACCAACCACUUCCACAAUCGAUGUGGGAUAACCCUGUUAGAAUGCUUGAGUAGAACUUAUCCCAAAAGCUAGCUAUUGAAGUAAGAGUGCCCUUACACUUAUAUAUUGCAAAUUACUUCAACUCUCAAGUGAUGUGAGACUUCGCUUCACACCCUCCCUCACGCUUAGUGUGCUCACUCGGCAGCACCUGCCACGUGCAGGCCAAGGACAUGCACCUUACCCAUCCCUGGGAGUCCCCGCUCUGAUACCAUGCAAGAAUGUUUGGGUAGAACUUAGUCCAAAAGUUAGCUAUUGAAGUAAGGGUGCCCUUCCACUUAUAUAUUGCAAAUUACUUCAACUCACAAGCGAUGUGGGACUUCGCUUCACAAAUCCAACAAUCUCCCCCUCACACAUCAGGCCCUUGGAUCGGCUAUCCAUCAACCCGUUUCUCCUGGUGUGGGCUUGAGACUUGUUGUAACCUGAGCUCUGAUACCAGUUGUUGAAAAAAUAUUGGUCUCACCCAUAAUGAAAGUACACAAAUU